UACGGAGGAUCCGAGCGUUAUCCGGAAUUAUUGGGUUUAAAGGGUGCGUAGGCGGCAUUUUAAGUCAGGGGUGAAAUACAGCGGCUCAACCGUUGCAGUGCCCUUGAUACUGAAGUGCUUGAAUGUGGUCGAAGUAGGCGGAACGGGACAAGUAGCGGUGAAAUGCAUAGAUAUGUCCCAGAACCCCGAUUGCGAAGGCAGCUUCCUAGUCCAUUAUUGACGCUGAUGCACGAAAGCGUGGGGAUCGAACAGG
rnacentral:rRNA from 1 species